CUCCAGAUGACUGUUCCACAGAUUUCCAGAAUUCGAAAAGGACUAAGUUCAUUAACAACAGUGUUCCAUCAAUAAGAGAAAAUUUUUAUUGAUUGCCUUUCCUCCCCUUUAUCACUUCCUCAUACCCCUCCUAGAAUUUCUUGGAAUCACCUUCCAGAUAAAAUAUUGCACUGAAACCUUGUCUUAAGGCCUGCUUCUGAAAGAACCAAACUAAGACAAUUAUUUAUAGGAGAGAGAAGCAGAAAUCUCUUUUUUUUAAUGGGCUUGAAUUUCAUAUAACACAUAAUUAUAUUUACUAUAUAUUGUUAGAUUAAAAACAUAAUAUCACACAUAGUUUGAUAUAUUUAUAAAAAUAUAUAUAUCUCAAAUUCCUAACAUUAUUCCUGUUUUGUUUAGCAAAGUUUGAUAUUCCAUUUCAUUUCAUUCUUGGGUUCUUAAUUUUUUGGACAUUAAACAUAUGUUAAUUCUGUAGUCUGAAAAAAACAAAACAAAACAAAAAAAUGUAACAAAAAAAUCCUGGGGAGACAAAAGGAGGAAAAUGACUCAGCAUAGGGAAAGAUUUCUUUUUAUCUUUUUUCAAAAUUGGAUCUUUUCUAGUUUUAGAUGGCCUAGAAAAUAUAGCUUUAGGCAUUCUACCUUGGUCACCACCCAUCACUUCGUCAGUUUUCCUUCUACCUGGAAUAGCAAUCACAGUCAUUAAAAGUAAGCCAGAAACCUGGGAAUCAUCCUGGAUGCCUCCUUAUUCUUCACCCCUGUAUCCAAUCCAUCACCAUGUCUUGCCUGUGCCUCCUAAAUGAAUUCCAAAUCUGUCUUCCUGCACCAUCUUUGAUGUCACUGCCCUAGACAGAGUGAUUCUGAAUUCUCACGGGGAUACUACAUUAGUCUCUCAUUGUGGAUUUCUGCAUCUGACACUACCACCCUCACUCAUUCUUCACCCUGUAGCUUAGGUAAAAAUACAUUUUAAAAUAAAAAUAUAAGUUCACUCCUCUUCUUGAAUGUUUUGAAUGGCUUCCCAUUGCUUGCCAAGGAAAAAUGAAUUCUUUAAAGUAGCGUAAGAAAGAUCUGUAUGAGCUGGCUUCUUUUCACCAGUCUAGCCUCACCUCAGAGAAGGCAAGAACACUGGAGUGGGUUGCCAUUUCCUUCUCCAGUGCAUGAAAGUGAAAAGUGAAAGUGAAAUCACUCAGUCAUGUCCGACUCUUCCCGACCCCAUGGACUGCAGC
ensembl:lncRNA